rnacentral:lncRNA from 1 species
ACUCAUAUUAAGUCAGUUAGUUAUAGAGGCUUUUCAGACAUUAGAGUCAAUUAUUCAAUAUUCAGAUAAUACAAUUAGUGAUCCAAUUUAUCUUUAUUUUAUCAAAUUCAGUCAGUUAUUUCUAUAGACUCAUGUUUUAGUUAUUAAAACCUUAUGACAUAUCAUUAUUCUUCUGCAUUUAUGAUGAUGUUAUUCAGUGCUCAUAGCAGGUACUAGCUCAUGGGUUCACUUGUGGUCUCUCAG